ACAAAAAUGCACAUACUGUGAGCUCGAUGAGUAGGGCGGGACACGUGGUAUCCUGUCUGAAUAUGGGGGGACCAUCCUCCAAGGCUAAAUACUCCUGACUGACCGAUAGUGAACCAGUACCGUGAGGGAAAGGCGAAAAGAACCCCGGCGAGGGGAGUGAAAAAGAACCUGAAACCGUGUACGUACAAGCAGUGGGAGCACGCUUAGGCGUGUGACUGCGUACCUUUUGUAUAAUGGGUCAGCGACUUAUAUUCUGUAGCAAGGUUAACCGAAUAGGGGAGCCGAAGGGAAACCGAGUCUUAACUGGGCGUUAAGUUGCAGGGUAUAGACCCGAAACCCGGUGAUCUAGCCAUGGGCAGGUUGAAGGUUGGGUAACACUAACUGGAGGACCGAACCGACUAAUGUUGAAAAAUUAGCGGAUGACUUGUGGCUGGGGGUGAAAGGCCAAUCAAACCGGGAGAUAGCUGGUUCUCCCCGAAAGCUAUUUAGGUAGCGCCUCGUGAAUUCAUCUCCGGGGGUAGAGCACUGUUUCGGCAAGGGGGUCAUCCCGACUUACCAACCCGAUGCAAACUGCGAAUACCGGAGAAUGUUAUCACGGGAGACACACGGCGGGUGCUAACGUCCGUCGUGAAGAGGGAAACAACCCAGACCGCCAGCUAAGGUCCCAAAGUCAUGGUUAAGUGGGAAACGAUGUGGGAAGGCCCAGACAGCCAGGAUGUUGGCUUAGAAGCAGCCAUCAUUUAAAGAAAGCGUAAUAGCUCACUGGUCGAGUCGGCCUGCGCGGAAGAUGUAACGGGGCUAAACCAUGCACCGAAGCUGCGGCAGCGACGCUGAUGCGUUGUUGGGUAGGGGAGCGUUCUGUAAGCCUGUGAAGGUGUGCUGUGAGGCAUGCUGGAGGUAUCAGAAGUGCGAAUGCUGACAUAAGUAACGAUAAAGCGGGUGAAAAGCCCGCUCGCCGGAAGACCAAGGGUUCCUGUCCAACGUUAAUCGGGGCAGGGUGAGUCGACCCCUAAGGCGAGGCCGAAAGGCGUAGUCGAUGGGAAACAGGUUAAUAUUCCUGUACUUGGUGUUACUGCGAAGGGGGGACGGAGAAGGCUAUGUUGGCCGGGCGACGGUUGUCCCGGUUUAAGCGUGUAGGCUGGUUUUCCAGGCAAAUCCGGAAAACUAAGGCUGAGGCGUGAUGACGAGGCACUACGGUGCUGAAGCAACAAAUGCCCUGCUUCCAGGAAAAGCCUCUAAGCAUCAGGUAACAUCAAAUCGUACCCCAAACCGACACAGGUGGUCAGGUAGAGAAUACCAAGGCGCUUGAGAGAACUCGGGUGAAGGAACUAGGCAAAAUGGUGCCGUAACUUCGGGAGAAGGCACGCUGAUAUGUAGGUGAAGCGACUUGCUCGUGGAGCUGAAAUCAGUCGAAGAUACCAGCUGGCUGCAACUGUUUAUUAAAAACACAGCACUGUGCAAACACGAAAGUGGACGUAUACGGUGUGACGCCUGCCCGGUGCCGGAAGGUUAAUUGAUGGGGUCAGCGCAAGCGAAGCUCUUGAUCGAAGCCCCGGUAAACGGCGGCCGUAACUAUAACGGUCCUAAGGUAGCGAAAUUCCUUGUCGGGUAAGUUCCGACCUGCACGAAUGGCGUAAUGAUGGCCAGGCUGUCUCCACCCGAGACUCAGUGAAAUUGAACUCGCUGUGAAGAUGCAGUGUACCCGCGGCAAGACGGAAAGACCCCGUGAACCUUUACUAUAGCUUGACACUGAACAUUGAGCCUUGAUGUGUAGGAUAGGUGGGAGGCUUUGAAGUGUGGACGCCAGUCUGCAUGGAGCCGACCUUGAAAUACCACCCUUUAAUGUUUGAUGUUCUAACGUUGACCCGUGAUCCGGGUUGCGGACAGUGUCUGGUGGGUAGUUUGACUGGGGCGGUCUCCUCCUAAAGAGUAACGGAGGAGCACGAAGGUUGGCUAAUCCUGGUCGGACAUCAGGAGGUUAGUGCAAUGGCAUAAGCCAGCUUGACUGCGAGCGUGACGGCGCGAGCAGGUGCGAAAGCAGGUCAUAGUGAUCCGGUGGUUCUGAAUGGAAGGGCCAUCGCUCAACGGAUAAAAGGUACUCCGGGGAUAACAGGCUGAUACCGCCCAAGAGUUCAUAUCGACGGCGGUGUUUGGCACCUCGAUGUCGGCUCAUCACAUCCUGGGGCUGAAGUAGGUCCCAAGGGUAUGGCUGUUCGCCAUUUAAAGUGGUACGCGAGCUGGGUUUAGAACGUCGUGAGACAGUUCGGUCCCUAUCUGCCGUGGGCGCUGGAGAACUGAGGGGGGCUGCUCCUAGUACGAGAGGACCGGAGUGGACGCAUCACUGGUGUUCGGGUUGUCAUGCCAAUGGCACUGCCCGGUAGCUAAAUGCGGAAGAGAUAAGUGCUGAAAGCAUCUAAGCACGAAACUUGCCCCGAGAUGAGUUCUCCCUGACUCCUUGAGAGUCCUGAAGGAACGUUGAAGACGACGACGUUGAUAGGCCGGGUGUGUAAGCGCAGCGAUGCGUUGAGCUAACCGGUACUAAUGAACCGUGAGGCUUAACCUUACAACGCCGAAG
rnacentral:rRNA from 1 species